rnacentral:ncRNA from 2 species
GCUUCCUGUCGUCGGUUCGGCUCGCUUCGUGCGGGCCGAUGAAAAGGGAACCCGGUGCGAAUCCGGGACUGCCCCCGCAGCGGUAUGCAGGAACAAACGCCGUCACACGCACUGACCCGCGUCGGGUUGGGAAGCGACGGUUAGUAGGUGUGCGGUGAGCCGCACGCGCCUGCGAGUCCGAAGACCUGCCGUGCGACCGCGCGAACC